rnacentral:rRNA from 1 species
CCGGCGAUGUCCGAAUGGGGAAACCCAGUGCAAUUCGUUGCACUAUCGUUAACUGAAUACAUAGGUUAACGAGGCGAACCGGGGGAACUGAAACAUCUAAGUACCCCGAGGAAAAGAAAUCAACCGAGAUUCCCCCAGUAGCGGCGAGCGAACGGGGAGCAGCCCAGAGUCUGAAUCAGCUUGUGUGUUAGUGGAACGGUCUGGAAAGUCCGACGGUACAGGGUGAUAGUCCCGUACACCAAAAUGCACAGGCUGUGAACUCGAAGAGUAGGGCGGGACACGUGGUAUCCUGUCUGAAUAUGGGGGGACCAUCCUCCAAGGCUAAAUACUCCUGACUGACCGAUAGUGAACCAGUACCGUGAGGGAAAGGCGAAAAGAACCCCGGCGAGGGGAGUGAAAAAGAACCUGAAACCGUGUACGUACAAGCAGUGGGAGCACCUUCGGGUGUGACUGCGUACCUUUUGUAUAAUGGGUCAGCGACUUAUAUUCUGUAGCAAGGUUAACCGUAUAGGGGAGCCGCAGGGAAACCGAGUCUUAACUGGGCGUUAAGUUGCAGGGUAUAGACCCGAAACCCGGUGAUCUAGCCAUGGGCAGGUUGAAGGUUGGGUAACACUAACUGGAGGACCGAACCGACUAAUGUUGAAAAAUUAGCGGAUGACUUGUGGCUGGGGGUGAAAGGCCAAUCAAACCGGGAGAUAGCUGGUUCUCCCCGAAAGCUAUUUAGGUAGCGCCUCGUGAAUUCAUCUUCGGGGGUAGAGCACUGUUUCGGCUAGGGGGUCAUCCCGACUUACCAACCCGAUGCAAACUACGAAUACCGAAGAAUGUUAUCACGGGAGACACACGGCGGGUGCUAACGUCCGUCGUGAAGAGGGAAACAACCCAGACCGCCAGCUAAGGUCCCAAAGUCAUGGUUAAGUGGGAAACGAUGUGGGAAGGCACAGACAGCCAGGAUGUUGGCUUAGAAGCAGCCAUCAUUUAAAGAAAGCGUAAUAGCUCACUGGUCGAGUCGGCCUGCGCGGAAGAUGUAACGGGGCUAAACCAUGCACCGAAGCUGCGGCAGCGACACUAUGUGUUGUUGGGUAGGGGAGCGUUCUGUAAGCCUGCGAAGGUGUGCUGUGAGGCAUGCUGGAGGUAUCAGAAGUGCGAAUGCUGACAUAAGUAACGAUAAAGCGGGUGAAAAGCCCGCUCGCCGGAAGACCAAGGGUUCCUGUCCAACGUUAAUCGGGGCAGGGUGAGUCGACCCCUAAGGCGAGGCCGAAAGGCGUAGUCGAUGGGAAACAGGUUAAUAUUCCUGUACUUGGUGUUACUGCGAAGGGGGGACGGAGAAGGCUAUGUUAGCCGGGCGACGGUUGUCCCGGUUUAAGCAUGUAGGCUGAUUGUCCAGGCAAAUCCGGAUAAUCAAGGCUGAGGUGUGAUGACGAGGCACUACGGUGCUGAAGUAACAAAUGCCCUGCUUCCAGGAAAAGCCUCUAAGCAUCAGGUAACAUCAAAUCGUACCCCAAACCGACACAGGUGGUCAGGUAGAGAAUACCAAGGCGCUUGAGAGAACUCGGGUGAAGGAACUAGGCAAAAUGGUGCCGUAACUUCGGGAGAAGGCACGCUGGUGUGUAGGUGAAGUCCCUGCGGAUGGAGCUGAGACCAGUCGAAGAUACCAGCUGGCUGCAACUGUUUAUUAAAAACACAGCACUGUGCAAACACGAAAGUGGACGUAUACGGUGUGACGCCUGCCCGGUGCCGGAAGGUUAAUUGAUGGGGUUAUCCGUAAGGAGAAGCUCUUGAUCGAAGCCCCGGUAAACGGCGGCCGUAACUAUAACGGUCCUAAGGUAGCGAAAUUCCUUGUCGGGUAAGUUCCGACCUGCACGAAUGGCGUAAUGAUGGCCAGGCUGUCUCCACCCGAGACUCAGUGAAAUUGAACUCGCUGUGAAGAUGCAGUGUACCCGCGGCAAGACGGAAAGACCCCGUGAACCUUUACUAUAGCUUGACACUGAACAUUGAGCCUUGAUGUGUAGGAUAGGUGGGAGGCUUUGAAGCGUGGACGCCAGUCUGCGUGGAGCCAACCUUGAAAUACCACCCUUUAAUGUUUGAUGUUCUAACGUUGGCCCCUUACCGGGGUUGCGGACAGUGUCUGGUGGGUAGUUUGACUGGGGCGGUCUCCUCCCAAAGCGUAACGGAGGAGCACGAAGGUUAGCUAAUCCUGGUCGGACAUCAGGAGGUUAGUGCAAUGGCAUAAGCUAGCUUGACUGCGAGCGUGACGGCGCGAGCAGGUGCGAAAGCAGGUCAUAGUGAUCCGGUGGUUCUGAAUGGAAGGGCCAUCGCUCAACGGAUAAAAGGUACUCCGGGGAUAACAGGCUGAUACCGCCCAAGAGUUCAUAUCGACGGCGGUGUUUGGCACCUCGAUGUCGGCUCAUCACAUCCUGGGGCUGAAGUAGGUCCCAAGGGUAUGGCUGUUCGCCAUUUAAAGUGGUACGCGAGCUGGGUUUAGAACGUCGUGAGACAGUUCGGUCCCUAUCUGCCGUGGGCGCUGGAGAAUUGAGGGGGGCUGCUCCUAGUACGAGAGGACCGGAGUGGACGCAUCACUGGUGUUCGGGUUGUCAUGCCAAUGGCACUGCCCGGUAGCUAAAUGCGGAAGAGAUAAGUGCUGAAAGCAUCUAAGCACGAAACUUGCCCCGAGAUGAGUUCUCCCUGAGACUUUAAGUCUCCUGAAGGAACGUU